rnacentral:rRNA from 1 species
UACAGAGGGUGCAAGCGUUUGUUCGGAAUCAUUGGGCGUAAAGGGCGUGUAGGCGGUUUUGUUAAGUCAUGUGUGAAAUCCCCCCGGCUUAACCGAGGAACGACGCAUGAAACUGGCAGCUAGAGUACCGAAGAGGGGGGUGGAAUUCCCGGUGUAGCGGUGAAAUGCGUAGAUAUCGGGGAGGAACACCCUGUGGCGAAGGCGGCCCCCCUGGUCGGAUACUGACGCUGAGACGCGAAAGCGUGGGGAGCAAACAGG